AUUGAACGCUGGCGGCAUGCCUUACACAUGCAAGUCGAACGGCAGCGGGGGAGAAGCUUGCUUUUCCUGCCGGCGAGUGGCGAACGGGUGAGUAAUACAUCGGAACGUGCCCUGUAGUGGGGGAUAACUAGUCGAAAGAUUAGCUAAUACCGCAUACGACCUGAGGGUGAAAGUGGGGGACCGCAUGGCCUCAUGCUCUAGGAGCGGCUGAUGGCGGAUUAGCUAGUUGGUGGGGUAAAGGCCUACCAAGGCGACGAUCAGUAGCUGGUCUGAGAGGACGAUCAGCCACACUGGGACUGAGACACGGCCCAGACUCCUACGGGAGGCAGCAGUGGGGAAUUUUGGACAAUGGGCGAAAGCCUGAUCCAGCAAUGCCGCGUGUGUGAAGAAGGCCCUCGGGUUGUAAAGCACUUUUGUCCGGAAAGAAAUGGCUCUGGUUAAUACCUGGGGUCGAUGACGGUACCGGAAGAAUAAGGACCGGCUAACUACGUGCCAGCCGCCGCAGUAA
rnacentral:rRNA from 1 species